rnacentral:rRNA from 1 species
GGGGGAAUCUUGGACAAUGGGCGCAAGCCUGAUCCAGCCAUGCCGCGUGAGUGAUGAAGGCCCUAGGGUUGUAAAGCUCUUUCACCGGUGAAGAUAAUGACGGUAACCGGAGAAGAAGCCCCGGCUAACUUCGUGCCAGCAGCCGCGGUAAUACGAAGGGGGCUAGCGUUGUUCGGAUUUACUGGGCGUAAAGCGCACGUAGGCGGACUUUUAAGUCAGGGGUGAAAACCCGGGGCUCAAUCCCGGAACUGCCUUUGAUGCUGGAAGUCUUGAGUAUGGUAGAAGUGGGUGGAAUUCCGGGUGUAGAGGUGAAAUUCGUCGAUAUUCGGAGGAAGACCAGUGGCGAAGGCGGCUCGCUGGACCGUUACUGACGCUGAGGUGCGAAAGCGGGGGGAGCAAACAGG